rnacentral:piRNA from 1 species
GUUUCUGCAGCUGUGGGAUGUGUGU